rnacentral:rRNA from 1 species
UACGGAGGAGGCAAGCGUUAUCCGGAAUUAUUGGGCGUAAAGCGUACGCAGGUGGCACUUCAAGUCUGUCGUCAAAGACUGGGGCUUAACCCUGGAAAGGCGGUGGAAACUGAAGCGCUAGAGUGCGGUAGGGGUAGAGGGAAUUCCCGGUGUAGCGGUGAAAUGCGUAGAGAUCGGGAAGAACAUCGGUGGCGAAAGCGCUCUACUGGACCGCAACUGACGCUGAGGAGCGAAAGCAUGGGGAGCGAACAGG